CCUAGAAAGGAAAAUUUUCUCAAUCUUAAUGCAUCAGUAGAUUUGGUUUCAAAGAAGAAGACAUUAAUUUUGGUAAGUCUGAAGAACCUGGAGCGUAGCCAACUUUCAGUGUAAAAAGAGGGAAAUGAUGUGGGGAUGGGCACAGCCCUUUCUGAGGGCGGAGCUGGCUCGCUCUGUGCUUAAGAUGUACAGCCUCUGACUUGGCUCUAACUUGAAAUAAAGUGUCUUCUCUUUGGUCCUUUUUGCUGCACCUCCCUUUUCUCAAACUACUCUUCCAGGUGCCUGAGCCCCAACCUAAAGCUCUGCUAGUCUCCACGGACCCUGCUCCCUUGCCUCAGCUUGAACUCAGCUCCAGUACCAGCUCCUUCAGGUCACCCCCUGUUCUACAAGAUGGUCCAAGAAGUUCCUAUUGCUUGAAGAAUGAAUCUAUGUCUGUAACACAUUUUGCAAACCUUCAGCUGGGAGUUCAGAAGAUCCUUUGGAACUGGAGUUACAGGCAGUUGGAGCUGCCUGAUAUGGGUGCUGGGAAGUAAGCCUGGGUCUUCUAUAAGAACAAAAAAUGCUCUUAACUCUCUAGCCUCAUGUUCUGGUAACUAUAAAAACUUUAUGAAGCUGUUACCACAUAGAGGUAUAGUAUUUGGUCAAUCUGAAUCUGUUCCUAAGUCAUAGUUGCUCAUGUUUGGUUCCAGAAUAAACGCUUAGUCCCUUUGAAGUCA